UAGAGAGUUGCGAAUUGUUAUUUUGGCUAAUUAUUCUCUAUGAUUACUUUCGCGCUCAGUUGCAGGCAUUAUUUGUGAGUGAACUUAAACCUUUGUAAUCAAGGUUUGGGUGAGUGGUUCUAACUAGUCGGGACUAGCUAUUGGGGCUGCAAAUACAUCUUGUAUAAGGGUAGUUUAGGGCUACACCGAUAGGUAGUUGGAUCAAUUGAGGAAUCAGAGACCUUUCAUUGAGUAAGGC
rnacentral:lncRNA from 1 species